rnacentral:rRNA from 1 species
UACGAAGGGGGCUAGCGUUGUUCGGAAUUACUGGGCGUAAAGCGCGCGCAGGCGGUCUUCCAAGUCAGUGGUGAAAGCCCGGAGCUCAACUCCGGAACUGCCAUUGAAACUGUGAGACUUGAGUACGAGAGAGGUGAGUGGAAUUCCCAGUGUAGAGGUGAAAUUCGUAGAUAUUGGGAAGAACACCGGUGGCGAAGGCGGCUCACUGGCUCGUAACUGACGCUCAGGCGCGACAGCGUGGGGAUCAAACAGG